rnacentral:rRNA from 1 species
GACGAACGCUGGCGGCGUGCUUAACACAUGCAAGUCGAACGGAAAGGCCCUGCUUUUGUGGGGUGCUCGAGUGGCGAACGGGUGAGUAACACGUGAGUAACCUGCCCUUGACUUUGGGAUAACUUCAGGAAACUGGGGCUAAUACCGGGUAGGAGCUCCUGCUGCUUGGUGGGGGUUGGAAAGUUUCGGCGGUUGGGGAUGGACUCGCGGCUUAUCAGCUUGUUGGUGGGGUAGUGGCUUACCAAGGCUUUGACGGGUAGCCGGCCUGCGAGGGUGACCGGCCACAUUGGGACUGAGAUACGGCCCAGACUCCUACGGGAGGCAGCAGUGGGGAAUAGUGCACAAUGGGCGGAAGCCUGAUGCAGCAACGCCGCGUGCGGGAUGACGGCCUUCGGGUUGUAAACCGCUUUCGCUUGUGACGAAGCGUGAGUGACGGUAAUGGGUAAAGAAGCACCGGCUAACUACGUG